GCCCGGUUAGCUCAAUCGGUAGAGCGUGAGACUCUUAAUCUCAAGGUUGCGGGUGAGUAACACAUCUCCUUCACAACAUAAAACGCUUCACUGGUACUAAUUCCAGCAAUAGGUUCGACCCCCGCAUCGGGCU